CAGCAGCAGCCGCGGGAAUACGAAGGGUGCAAGCGUUAAUCGGAAUUACUGGGCGUAAAGCGUGCGUAGGCGGUUUCUUAAGUCUGCUGUGAAAUCCCCGGGCUCAACCUGGGAAUGGCAGUGGAUACUGUGAAGCUAGAGUGUGUCAGAGGAUGGUGGAAUUCCCGGUGUAGCGGUGAAAUGCGUAGAGAUCGGGAGGAACAUCAGUGGCGAAGGCGGCCAUCUGGGACAACACUGACGCUGAGGAGCGAAAGCGUGGGGAGCGAACAGGAUUAGAUACCCCCGUAGUCCCUGUCUCUUAUAC
rnacentral:rRNA from 1 species